CACGUGAUGUCUGGAGCCCUCCUUCUCCCUCCCUCCCUGCUUCUCGCUUCCUUCCCUUCCUCGCGCUGCGGGUUGCUGACUCCUCCGAGGAGCAGACAGGCGAAGUCGGAGCGCCCUCUAAAGGGGGAGAGAAGAAGGGAGCGCUAUUCGCCUCAGUCACAAAUGAAACACUAGAGACGCGGGAGAGGGGAAGGGAUAGCCCUGCACUAAGGGAGUGCUAUAUAUAGACGAGCGAGAUGGAUAUAGAAACACACGCGCGCGCGCGCCGAGCCCUAGCGCGACUUUCACGAACUGCAGCUCAGAAUAGCCGUGUUGCUCAUUCACGCUGUGCUGGCUGCGGGAGCGGAGCCUGCUUCCUGAUACACACAGGCAGCUUGAAGCAGGGGAGCAGCACGCAGGCACAAAGCCCCCGCACGGGUCCAUGGCGAAACUGUGGAGGGUUGUAAUGGGUCUGUGUUUUCAUGCCCGGGCUUGUUUGCACAGGCAACCCCCGCCCCGCGUCGUGUCGCCUAGUGGGUACGGGGGUGCGUGUGGAAUCAAGCCCGGACAUGAAAAACACCGAGGUCAGUGUGUGCACGCGCCUCCACACGCUCGCCGUCAUCACCAUCAGCCAGCUCCUUUUCUCCCCCGUUCCACGUACAUGCAGACAAACAUACAGCAGUGCGCUACAGCUGCUACGCGUCAGCCAGACUAGGCAGGCUUACCCGCAGUCCCUUAUUAGCAGGGUUAGUUCCUUAUUUCAGCCCUAAAUUGACGCCGUGUAUCCCUUGUUCAUGGGGAAACCUCCUGCUAUCAUGGGAAGGGCACCAUUGCCUCAACAAUAUUCCUGAUAUAAGACACUGUAAAAACAUGGGUUUGGAAGCACCUAUGCAUUUCCCACAAGGAAAAUGUUUUAAGAAAAAUUGUUUCCUAGAAUCAGAAGCAAGAAUGCCUAAAGUUUCCUCAAGACAAGUACCUUGAAAUAUUCAAUAAGUGCUUUUGAAUAUUUUACAGCAUGAUCUCUUUUGAGCUGAAACAUCCUCCAGUACAGAAGUGCCAAACAGCGGUAACUGAGAUGACUUACUUCAGAAGAAAGUGUAUGCUCCAGACCUAGGUGGAUUGGCAUUCACUCAGGAGAGAGUGGCCACAUCCAAAUGAAGAGGCUGUGCACCGGGAAACUUCUGAUUGUACACAGAGGAAUUAUUUUUGACGAUCACCCUGUUCCUCUGCAGCUGCCUGUACCUCCUUAAAAAAGGUCCCCAAGGGUCCUGCAAUCCUCAGGGAUGCAUUUUAGGGAGGCACAGGUGGCUGCAGAGGGAAGGGGAGGAUUGUUGAAAAUCACAACUUCCAUCCCUAUGCAUGCAUAAAUGUUUCCCACUUGUCAGUCCUAAGCAAACCAAUGAUUCAUUGGAUUUUGUCAUUUGUUCAAUGAGAUAAUGUAAUAGCCCACAAGAAAUGUAAAAAUCCAGAGGAACAAGUAUUAUUAUUUACUACAUUUUUAUACCACCUAAUAAAAUUUCUAUAGUUUCUAAUAAAAA